AGUGAACGCUGGCGGUAGGCCUAACACAUGCAAGUCGAACGGCAGCACAGUAAGAGCUUGCUCUUACGGGUGGCGAGUGGCGGACGGGUGAGGAAUACAUCGGAAUCUACUUUUUCGUGGGGGAUAACGUAGGGAAACUUACGCUAAUACCGCAUACGACCUACGGGUGAAAGCAGGGGAUCUUCGGACCUUACGCGAUUGAAUGAGCCGAUGUCGGAUUAGCUAGUUGGCGGGGUAAAGGCCCACCAAGGCGACGAUCCGUAGCUGGUCUGAGAGGAUGAUCAGCAACACUGGAACUGAGAAACGGUCCAGACUCCUACGGGAGGCAGCAGUGGGGAAUAUUGGACAAUGGGCGAAAGCCUGAUCCAGCCAUACCGCGUGGGUGAAGAAGGCCUUCGGGUUGUAAAGCCCUUUUGUUGGGAAAGAAAAGCAGCAGGUUAAUACCCCGCUGUUCUGACGGUACCCAAAGAAUAAGCACCGGCUAACUUCGU
rnacentral:rRNA from 1 species